UCUAUCUACCAAGGUGUCAUCUAGCUGAUUAUUUUACCAGCUCUCAUCCUUGGAGAUGGACUCUAUAACUUCAUCGAAGUACUGUCUUUCACCAUCAGAAGCUUCCAUGGUAGAUUGAAAUGGAAGGACCCUCAGAACAGGCCCCUGUUUACAUGUUACCACAUUCACGCACAUGUUCGAUGAUAGCAAAAGGGGUGGGUAGUUCAAUUGCAAGAAGAGAAUCAUUGCAUGUGAGUUGUCUGCGUUAUAAAACACAACUUUCUUGAUUGUAAUCUUGUCACCUACCCUA